AGUUAGCAUCAUCCUCCGUGGGGGCAAAUUCUGGCCUGACCUCCCAGCGGUAGGUGUAGCUGCCUUGUGGGGGAACGGAGUCAUCCUCCUUCAACCUGCUUGAUGUCCCAUCUGGAUAGAGCGCCCCUGGUGGGAAAAUACAAAGACUCCAUGGGGAUGCAUGGAAUAGCCCCUGGAUGCAAAGUUCUUCAGGUGGAUCGUGAUAACGUCAUCGACCUCCGCGCGCAGGAUUGGCCCCAGGAAGCCCAACCACUCAGGCCGGGGAGCCUGUGUGCUGUAUGUGGCGUCCGUGUACUGCCGGAACAUGGCCUUCUUAUAAACGCUGCCCAUUCGGUGGUCUCCUUUUUCCAGGAACACAGACGCAUGCCUGAGAUCGAGACAGAAAAACAUGGGCGAUACAGACCAGACACAGCAGGGGAUUCACACACAGAGGAGGGUAUGCAGGAGGUGGAUGAGAAAGAGAUGGCAAGUAAUCCUGUUUCUGUUUGCACAUCUUAAAGUAUUAUAGAAUAUUCUCAAAACAGGAUUGCAAAAUGACACACACUCCUAUCUCACCGUCAUGAUAUAUAUUUUUGCAACAAGCACAGAUAUUUGUAAGGAAUGUUAAAGCACAAGGAGAAACACAACAUCCAUUAGAGCUAGAUUAUAUAUGCAUACACCGUCAGAGCAAUGCAAAUUCUUACUUUGUGUGAAGAUACAAACUGCAUCCCUGUGACCAACUAUACAACUAUAAAUAUUUACAAAAAAAUACCUUUAAGUUACCUUUCCCCUGCUGUCCAUUGGUUUACUUGUUUGUUUGUGAGCAGGGAUACGCAAAAAUCACUCGACUGAUUUCUAACUAUCUUGGUGGAAGGACUGGACAUGGUCCAAGGAAGAAAUCUUUACAUUUUGGUUCAAAUCUGGAAACAGUGGUAAAUGGCAGAUUUAUUUGUCACUUGUAUUUUUGAAAAUGUUUUGCUAAUUUUCCUGGGAUCCAUGGAUCAGACACAUUUAGAGGACUGAUGGGCUUGAUUCAAAUUAAGGGGGUUAGAAGGUAUUCGCUCUAUUAAAUUCUUUUUAUCUUUUAAAUUC